UACUGAGUAAUGCCCACUGAAGCUAAGCAGGGCUGAGCCUGGUCAGUACCUGGAUGGGAGACCUCCUGGGAAAACUAGGUUGCUGCUGGAA
rnacentral:rRNA from 1 species